rnacentral:rRNA from 1 species
CUGCGAAUGGCUCAUUAAAUCAGUUAUCGUUUAUUUGAUAGUACCUUACUACAUGGAUAACCGUGGUAAUUCUAGAGCUAAUACAUGCUAAAAACCCCGACUUCGGAAGGGGUGUAUUUAUUAGAUAAAAAACCAAYGCCCUUCGGGGCUCCUUGGUGAUUCAUAAUAACUYAACGAAUCGCAUGGCCUUGCGCCGGCGAUGGUUCAUUCAAAUUUCUGCCCUAUCAACUUUCGAUGGUAGGAUAGUGGCCUACCAUGGUAUCAACGGGUAACGGGGAAUUAGGGUUCCAUUCCGGAGAGGGAGCCUGAGAAACGGCUACCACAUCCAAGGAAGGCAGCAGGCGCGCAAAUUACCCAAUCCCGACWCGGGGAGGUAGUGACAAUAAAUACUGAUACAGGGCUCUUUUGGGUCUUGUAAUUGGAAUGAGUACAAUUUAAAUCCCUUAACGAGGAACAAUUGGAGGGCAAGUCUGGUGCCAGCAGCCGCGGUAAUUCCAGCUCCAAUAGCGUAUAUUAAAGUUGUUGCAGUUAAAAAGCUCGUAGUUGAACCUUGGGCCUGGCUGGCCGGUCCGCCUCACCGCGUGUACUGGUCCGGCCGGGCCUUUCCUUCUGGGGAKCCGCAUGCCCUUCACUGGGYGUGYCGGGGAACCAGGACUUUUACUUUGAAAAAAUUAGAGUGUUCAAAGCAGGCCUUUGCUCGAAUACAUUAGCA